rnacentral:rRNA from 1 species
UGGGGAAUUUUGGACAAUGGGCGAAAGCCUGAUCCAGCAAUGCCGCGUGUGUGAAGAAGGCCUUCGGGUUGUAAAGCACUUUUGUCCGGAAAGAAAUCCUUGGCUCUAAUACAGUCGGGGGAUGACGGUACCGGAAGAAUAAGCACCGGCUAACUACGUGCCAGCAGCCGCGGUAAUACGUAGGGUGCAAGCGUUAAUCGGAAUUACUGGGCGUAAAGCGUGCGCAGGCGGUUUGCUAAGACCGAUGUGAAAUCCCCGGGCUCAACCUGGGAACUGCAUUGGUGACUGGCAGGCUAGAGUAUGGCAGAGGGGGGUAGAAUUCCACGUGUAGCAGUGAAAUGCGUAGAGAUGUGGAGGAAUACCGAUGGCGAAGGCAGCCCCCUGGGCCAAUACUGACGCUCAUGCACGAAAGCGUGGGGAGCAAAACAGGAUUAGAUACCCUGGUAGUCCACGCCCUAAAACGAUGUCAACUAGUUGUUGGGGGAUUCAUUUCCUUAGUAACGUAGCUAACGCGUGAAGUUGACCGCCUGGGGAGUACGGUCGCAAGAUUAAAACUCAAAGGAAUUGACGGGGUCAUAGCUGUUUCCU